GGGGGCUGGGUUGUGUUGGGAAGAGGAGGGGGGCUGGGUUGUGUUGGGAAGAGGAGGGGGGCUGGGUUGUGUUGGGAAGAGGAGGGGAGCUGGGUUGUGUUGGGAAGAGGAGGGGCUGGGUUGUGGGUAGGCAGAGGGAGCUGGGUUGUGUUGGAAAGAAGAGGGGAGCUGGGUUGUGUUGGGAAGAGGACGGGGGGCUGGGUUGUGUUGGGAAGAGGACGGGGGCUGGGUUGUGUUGGGAAGAGGACGGGGGCUGGGUUGUGUUGGGAAGAGGAGGGGGGCUGGGUUGUGUGGGUAGGCAGAGGGAGCUGGGUUGUGUUGGAAAGAAGAGGGGAGCUGGGUUGUGUUGGGAAUUAUAUUGCGAGA
ensembl:lncRNA